GGUGAACGCUGGCGGCGUGCUUAAGACAUGCAAGUCGAACGGCAGUCUUCGGACUGUAGUGGCGCACGGGUGAGUAACGCGUAACUGACCUACCCCAAAGUCGCGGAUAACGAUUCGAAAGAAUCGCUAAGACGUGAUGUGCUGUCAGAUUGUGUUCUGCCAGUAAAGAUUGAUUGCUUUGGGAUGGGGUUGCGUUCCAUCAGCUAGUUGGUGGGGUAAAGGCCCACCAAGGGGACGACGGAUAGCCGGCCUGAGAGGGUGGCCGGCCACAGGGGCACUGAGACACGGGUCCCACUCCUACGGGAGGCAGCAGUUAGGAAUCUUCCACAAUGGGCGAAAGCCUGAUGGAGCGACGCCGCGUGAGGGAUGAAGGUCUUCGGAUCAUAAACCUCUGAAUCAGGGACGAAAGACACUUCGGUGGGAUGACGGUACCUGUGUAAUAGCACCGGCUAACUCCGUGCCAGCCGCCGCCGUAAGAC
rnacentral:rRNA from 1 species